ACAACAUUCGGACCGUCGGUCUACCAAGCUACAUAAUAUUAUAUCUCCCGCUCGGUGGAAGAUCUUCCCUUUGUCGU
rnacentral:pre_miRNA from 1 species